AGACCCGAAACCCGGUGAUCUAGCCAUGGGCAGGUUGAAGGUUGGGUAACACUAACUGGAGGACCGAACCGACUAAUGUUGAAAAAUUAGCGGAUGACCUGUGGCUGGGGGUGAAAGGCCAAUCAAACCGGGAGAUAGCUGGUUCUCCCCGAAAGCUAUUUAGGUAGCGCCUCGUGAAUUCAUCUCCGGGGGUAGAGCACUGUUUCGGCUAGGGGGCCAUCCCGGCUUACCAACCCGAUGCAAACUGCGAAUACCGGAGAAUGUUAUCACGGGAGACACACGGCGGGUGCUAACGUCCGUCGUGAAGAGGGAAACAACCCAGACCGCCAGCUAAGGUCCCAAAGUCAUGGUUAAGUGGGAAACGAUGUGGGAAGGCCCAGACAGCCAGGAUGUUGGCUUAGAAGCAGCCAUCAUUUAAAGAAAGCGUAAUAGCUCACUGGUCGAGUCGGCCUGCGCGGAAGAUGUAACGGGGCUAAACCAUGCACCGAAGCUGCGGCAGCGAACGUAUCACCCAAGACAACUUUGCGGAGUUGACGAUUGACGGAGCGAAGCGAC
rnacentral:rRNA from 2 species